UACGGGGGGGGCAAGCGUUGUUCGGAAUUACUGGGCGUAAAGGGCGCGUAGGCGGUCAGACCAAGUCGAAUGUUAAAUUCCAGAGCUUAACUUUGGACGGUCGUUCGAUACUGGUCGGCUAGAGUGUGGAAGAGGAUGCUGGAAUUCCCGGUGUAGCGGUGAAAUGCGUAGAUAUUGGGAGGAACACCAGUGGCGAAGGCGGCUCACUGGACCGGAACUGACGCUGAUGCGCGAAAGCGUGGGGAGCAAACGGG
rnacentral:rRNA from 1 species